UAAAGAUGACUCCACUUGACUGAAAAGC
rnacentral:piRNA from 1 species